rnacentral:rRNA from 1 species
GACGAACGCUGGCGGCGUGCUUAACACAUGCAAGUCGAACGGAAAGGCCCUGCUUUUGUGGGGUGCUCGAGUGGCGAACGGGUGAGUAACACGUGAGUAACCUGCCCUUGAUUUUGGGAUAACUUCAGGAAACUGGGGCUAAUAUCGGAUAGGAGCUCCUGCUGCAUGGUGGGGGUUGGAAAGUUUCGGCGGUUGGGGAUGGACUCGCGGCUUAUCAGCUUGUUGGUGGGGUAGUGGCUUACCAAGGCUUUGACGGGUAGCCGGCCUGAGAGGGUGACCGGGCACAUUGGGACUGAGAUACGGCCCAGACUCCUACGGGAGGCAGCAGUGGGGAAUAUUGCACAAUGAGCGGAAGCCUGAUGCAGCAACGCCGCGUGCGGGAUGACGGCCUUCGGGUUGUAAACCGCUUUCGCCUGUGACGAAGCGUGAGUGACGGUAAUGAGUAAAGAAGCACCGGCUAACUACGUG